AGACAAUAAGGCAAAGUUGCCAAAGCUAAAAGGCCUUUUUAAUCACCCUGAAGUUAGUCAAAAAGCCUGCCCUUUACAACAAGAGUUAUCCAACUGGAAGCAGUUACCAAUGCCCAUAUAUGGGCAAGUGCUCAAAGAAGAUAACAAGGAUCCCACAGAUGAAAAAUAUGAAAGCUUCAUUUCUAAUAUAACUUCAAGCUAA
rnacentral:lncRNA from 1 species